ACGGAGGAUCCAAGCGUUAUCCGGAUUUACUGGGUUUAAAGGGUGCGUAGGCGGAUUGAUAAGUCAGUGGUGAAAGCCUACAGCUUAACUGUAGAACUGCCACUGAUACUGCCAGUCUGGAGUAUGGUUGAGGUAGCUAGAAUGUGUCGUGUAGCGGUGAAAUGCGUAGAGAUGAGGCGGAACACCAGUGGCGAAGGCAGGUUACCGGACCAUUACUGACGCUGAGGUGCGAAAGCGUGGGGAGCAAACAG
rnacentral:rRNA from 1 species